rnacentral:lncRNA from 1 species
AACAACACAUUCAUUAUUACAUUGUUGCUCUAACAUUUUAAUACCACUUUUACAAUACGCUUUAUCUUUUGCCUCGAAUUAGUCCUCAGUUUUAGAGAUAACCUAAUCAUUGGAGCAAAAAUUUGUAUCAACAAGCAUUUUUUCAGGUCUGCGAACAGCAAGUAGUCGUUGAGUGCCGAAUCUGGAGAGUAAAGUGGAUGUGGAAGCAAUUCAAAAUUUACUAAAGUAUGUUUGCCAUUGUUUUCAUUGGAUUGUGAUACGGUACGUUAUCCUGGUGAAACAAGACUUUCUUCUUCUUCUAAUGGGACAGUUAUUCCGUGAUUGUAUUCUUUAAAAGCUCUAACAACGCUAUUUAAUAUUCACUAGUGAUGGUAUUUCCCUUCUCAAGAUGAUUGCUGUGCUUUCAGGCGCAUUGAAUGACGAUCACAAGUUACUGUCCACUCAGGUUAGGAUUUUUUUAUGGUCAACAGUGAGCAAACGCGAGAGCCACUUUGAGCAAAGCCUUCUCAUCGACAAAUACUCGUUCAAUAUAAAGACGAUACGUUCUUUUGAUAAAUUUAGGAUGUCAGCUAACUCAUGCAACUUCAUUUCCCAUUAUUUAAAACGAUUUUGUGGAUUUUUUUUUAUGUUUUCUAUUGUUAUCCAGUCCUAAUAAUAGACAAAAAAGAUAAACACAGAAACAGUAAUCCUUGUUUACUUGUACACACCUGCAAUAUUUAGUUAGUGCGACUAGAUUAUUAUUUCUUAU